rnacentral:rRNA from 1 species
UACGAAGGGGGCUAGCGUUGCUCGGAAUCGACUGGGACGGUAAAGGGCGCGUAGGCGGCCAGUUCAAGUCGGGGGUGAAAGCCUGUGGCUCAACCACAGAAUUGCCUUCGAUAUCGUGUUUGGCUUGAGUAUGGUAGAGGUCAGUGGAACUGCGAGUGUAGAGGUGAAAUUCGUAGAUAUUCGCAAGAACACCAGUGGCGAAGGCGGCUGACUGGACCAUUACUGACGCUGAGGCGCGAAAGCGUGGGGAGCAAACAGGG